rnacentral:rRNA from 1 species
GACGAACGCUGGCGGCGUGCUUAACACAUGCAAGUCGAACGGAAAGGCCCUGCUUUUGUGGGGUGCUCGAGUGGCGAACGGGUGAGUAACACGUGAGUAACCUGCCCUUGACUUUGGGAUAACUUCAGGAAACUGGGGCUAAUACCGGAUAGGAGCUCCUGCUGCAUGGUGGGGGUUGGAACGUUUCGGCGGUUGGGGAUGGACUCGCGGCUUAUCAGCUUGUUGGUGGGGUAGUGGCUUACCAUGGCUUUGACGGGUAGCCGGCCUGAGAGGGUGACCGGCCACAUUGGGACUGAGAUACGGCCCAGACUCCUACGGGAGGCAGCAGUGGGGAAUAUUGCACAAUGGGCGGAAGCCUGAUGCAGCAACGCCGCGUGCGGGAUGACGGCCUUCGGGUUGUAAACCGCUUUCGCCUGUGACGAAGCGUGAGUGACGGUAAUGGGUAAAGAAGCACCGGCUAACUACGUG